AUUAUGCAAGGGGUGGUGACAUCAUUUGCUGCACCCACUUUGGGCUGCCCCCCCUUACCCCCCAGCUCAGCUUGCACUGAACUUUUGCAAAACGCCCCGGGCGGGAGCUGUGUCUUUGCAGCAGGCUCUGCGAGUGCUCAGACCCCCCCCUCCCCCCGGUAGUUUCCCCGCUUUCCUUCUCAUGUGCAGGAAAGAAACGGCAACUUUAGCCUUUUGUAAAGGCAGGCGGGGUGUGAGCGCAAGAGUAGCUGCGUAGCUGUGGUCGGGUUCGGGGUGGUAGAUGAGCAAAACAAAGCUGAUCUUUGCAGAGACUCAUCUUCCUUUCUCCCAGCUGUAAUUACCGUGAAACUAAAGAGGAAAGGCUGUUUGUGUUUGUUUGCAGGAUAUUGAUUCUGUGAGCUAGGAAAGCAACACGUUUGCAAAAGCUGAUCAGUUUCCCCUCUGAAGUUCUGAAAUGGAAGACUAGACUGAAGUGGAAAUAUUAAACUCUUAAUUUCUUUCCUACAUAUUUCCAUUUGUCCUUCAUCACCUCCUCGUCCUUUUUACAAUUUCAAUGCAGAGAACCACAGUUUGCAAAAUUGGAACUGGACAUGUACUGUCAUGUUGUUUUGGCCAGGGGGUGAAGACUGUAGCACGGGGAAAUUUAAACUGAUCUCUAACUGGUCUCAUAACCAAUGAACACUUUAUUUCAACAUGCUUGCCUCAGAUGGACCUGCAAGCAUUGCAUGCCUCAGUACAUUGUUAAAAGACAGAGGGAAAAUCCUUAGUCCUUACUCUGAUUAACUCCCAGUGACUAUAAGGAGUGGUUAGCCUAAGGGCCAAGUUUAAACCAAAUAAAGAUUCAGGAUUUGGAGCAUGCAGAGUCUGUGAUUUUCUAAUUCUUACAGCCAUGGAGAGAUCUGGUUUUCUGUAGAAAUACCAAAAUUACCAGAGGCACCUGUUCUUAGCUGAGAAGGUUAUAAGCCCUUGAAAACAGGGGUUUCCUGUGUAAUGAACGUGGCUUCUCAGUCAUAAUGCUUUAGUGUACACUGCGUUUAAACAGGCAGAGUAACGUUCCUAUAUCUGUUUCAGCUGGUUCACUGAA